UGCGGGACCUUCACCGUUAGCCUGCAUUAGCAGGACAUUACAUGUCAUAAGCUCACAGCACUAGCGCGGAAUACCCCCAACCGCAGACACGCGAUCCGACAGGGGAGACGCGGAUGAAUAAGUGUGUAAAUAAGAAGAACGCGGGCUGGCGGUGUGUUGGCACUGUGAGACGGACAGCUGUGACGCUGAGUCAGGGCGCCCGGCGUCGGUGCGGCUGUUUCCAGAGACCAGGGUGUGGCAUGGUAGGAGGUCUCCGUCACAGAACGUCCCAUCGCGUGUGUUUGCGUGCGGGUGAGUGGAGAGGGGCCAGAGAAGAGGACUGAGCCACAAGACAGCACGCUCUUCCUCUUCCUCUUCCUCAGCGGUGUCAGGUACACAGGAGCAUCUGCCUCGUUUAGGACGACCUCAUGCUACACUACAGCUCCAGCAAACACGUCCAUAAGCAUCAAAGUGCUCUGAGUGUAGGUGAGUUCACAGAUGACCAUCCCAUGGUGGAAGAAAGCGUCUCUUUAGUCGGGAGCAAGAAGCAGAAAUCACCACCCUGGUGUUGCUAAAUAAUGCCAUCAGACUCAAAUACAAACACAAAUGAAGAAAGACGACACCAUACUCCACAUCAGAAGGAAUGUUUCCACAUCAACCACUGGCCACAUACUGAGAAGACGUAGGAGGAGUAUGAAACAAAUAUAUUGGAGAAGAAUUCUGAUCAUGUGAAAGAAAUGUGACAUGCGCGUGUACAAAGUAUAUUUAAGCAUGAAAUGAACGCUGACCAGAUUGAAAACAUCUACACUCAAGAGGCUGCUCUCAGUUUGUCCAAAAGGCACUGCAGAGACAGGAACACCAGAGGACGAAGAGCUACAGUGGACGUCCC